CCCUUAGAUGUUCUGGGCCGCACGCGCGCUACACUGACGAAUGCAACGAGCUUAUAACCUUGGCCGAAAGGUCUGGGUAAUCUCCAAAUUUCGUCGUGAUGGGGAUAGAUUAUUGCAAUUAUUAAUCUUCAACGAGGAAUGCCUAGUAAGCGCAAGUCGUCAGCUUGCGUUGAUUACGUCCCUGCCCUUUGUACACACCGCCCGUCGCUCCUACCGAUUGAAUGGUCCGGUGAAGCGUUCGGACCGUGGCCUUUGGACGGUUCGCCGUCUGUUGGCUGCGGGAAGUUCGUUAAACCUUAUCAUUUAGAGGAAGGAGAGGUCGUAACA
rnacentral:rRNA from 1 species